AGGGUGUAAACGCUGCAGACUUGGUGUUGGAGGCCCUUUGGGGGCAUUCAGUGCCGGAGAGAAGUUGUUAAGUCUGCUACUUGGGAGUACGUCCGCAAGGAUGAAACUUAAAGGAAUUGGCGGGGGAGCACCGCAACGGGAGGAGCGUGCGGUUUAAUUGGAUUCAACACCGUAAACUCACCAGGGAAGACUGUUACAUGAAGGCCGAGAUGAAGACUCUGCUAGAUUUUCAGAGAGGUGGUGCAUGGCGUAGACGUCU
rnacentral:rRNA from 1 species